CGCCGAUGAUGAUCCCGCCAUGCUAAUACUGAUGCACCAGACUGACGGUGUGUCUCUCUGGGUGCAAGUGAGUUAGUAUGAGAAAGUGAGGCUG